rnacentral:rRNA from 1 species
GGGUUGUGAGGUUAAGCGACUAAGCGUACACGGUGGAUGCCCUGGCAGUCAGAGGCGAUGAAGGACGUGCUAAUCUGCGAAAAGCGCCGGCGAGGUGAUAUGAACCCUUGACCCGGCGAUGUCCGAAUGGGGAAACCCAGUGUGAUUCGUCACACUAUCGUUAACUGAAUACAUAGGUUAACGAGGCGAACCGGGGGAACUGAAACAUCUAAGUACCCCGAGGAAAAGAAAUCAACCGAGAUUCCCCCAGUAGCGGCGAGCGAACGGGGAGCAGCCCAGAGUCUGAAUCAGCUUGUGUGUUAGUGGAAGCGUCUGGAAAGUCGCACGGUACAGGGUGAAAGUCCCGUACACGAAAGCACACAGGCUGUGAACUCGAAGAGUAGGGCGGGACACGUGGUAUCCUGUCUGAAUAUGGGGGGACCAUCCUCCAAGGCUAAAUACUCCUGACUGACCGAUAGUGAACCAGUACCGUGAGGGAAAGGCGAAAAGAACCCCGGCGAGGGGAGUGAAAAAGAACCUGAAACCGUGUACGUACAAGCAGUGGGAGCACCUUCGGGUGUGACUGCGUACCUUUUGUAUAAUGGGUCAGCGACUUAUAUUCUGUAGCAAGGUUAACCGUAUAGGGGAGCCGAAGGGAAACCGAGUCUUAACUGGGCGUUAAGUUGCAGGGUAUAGACCCGAAACCCGGUGAUCUAGCCAUGGGCAGGUUGAAGGUUGGGUAACACUAACUGGAGGACCGAACCGACUAAUGUUGAAAAAUUAGCGGAUGACCUGUGGCUGGGGGUGAAAGGCCAAUCAAACCGGGAGAUAGCUGGUUCUCCCCGAAAGCUAUUUAGGUAGCGCCUCGUGAACUCAUCUUCGGGGGUAGAGCACUGUUUCGGCUAGGGGGCCAUCCCGGCUUACCAACCCGAUGCAAACUACGAAUACCGAAGAAUGUUAUCACGGGAGACACACGGCGGGUGCUAACGUCCGUCGUGAAGAGGGAAACAACCCAGACCGCCAGCUAAGGUCCCAAAGUCAUGGUUAAGUGGGAAACGAUGUGGGAAGGCCCAGACAGCCAGGAUGUUGGCUUAGAAGCAGCCAUCAUUUAAAGAAAGCGUAAUAGCUCACUGGUCGAGUCGGCCUGCGCGGAAGAUGUAACGGGGCUAAACCAUGCACCGAAGCUGCGGCAGCGACGCUUAUGCGUUGUUGGGUAGGGGAGCGUUCUGUAAGCCGUUGAAGGUGGCCUGUGAGGGUUGCUGGAGGUAUCAGAAGUGCGAAUGCUGACAUAAGUAACGAUAAAGCGGGUGAAAAGCCCGCUCGCCGGAAGACCAAGGGUUCCUGUCCAACGUUAAUCGGGGCAGGGUGAGUCGACCCCUAAGGCGAGGCCGAAAGGCGUAGUCGAUGGGAAACAGGUUAAUAUUCCUGUACUUGGUGUUACUGCGAAGGGGGGACGGAGAAGGCUAUGUUAGCCGGGCGACGGUUGUCCCGGUUUAAGCAUGUAGGCGGAGGUUCCAGGUAAAUCCGGUACCUUUUAACGCUGAGGUGUGAUGACGAGGCACUACGGUGCUGAAGUAACAAAUGCCCUGCUUCCAGGAAAAGCCUCUAAGCAUCAGGUAACACGAAAUCGUACCCCAAACCGACACAGGUGGUCAGGUAGAGAAUACCAAGGCGCUUGAGAGAACUCGGGUGAAGGAACUAGGCAAAAUGGUGCCGUAACUUCGGGAGAAGGCACGCUGAUAUGUAGGUGAAGCCCCUGCGGGUGGAGCUGAAAUCAGUCGAAGAUACCAGCUGGCUGCAACUGUUUAUUAAAAACACAGCACUGUGCAAACACGAAAGUGGACGUAUACGGUGUGACGCCUGCCCGGUGCCGGAAGGUUAAUUGAUGGGGUUAGCGGCAACGCGAAGCUCUUGAUCGAAGCCCCGGUAAACGGCGGCCGUAACUAUAACGGUCCUAAGGUAGCGAAAUUCCUUGUCGGGUAAGUUCCGACCUGCACGAAUGGCGUAAUGAUGGCCAGGCUGUCUCCACCCGAGACUCAGUGAAAUUGAACUCGCUGUGAAGAUGCAGUGUACCCGCGGCAAGACGGAAAGACCCCGUGAACCUUUACUAUAGCUUGACACUGAACACUGGUCCUUGAUGUGUAGGAUAGGUGGGAGGCUUUGAAGCGUGGACGCCAGUCUGCGUGGAGCCGUCCUUGAAAUACCACCCUUUAAUGGCUGGUGUUCUAACGUAGACCCGUAAUCCGGGUUGCGGACAGUGUCUGGUGGGUAGUUUGACUGGGGCGGUCUCCUCCCAAAGAGUAACGGAGGAGCACGAAGGUUAGCUAAUCCUGGUCGGACAUCAGGAGGUUAGUGCAAUGGCAUAAGCUAGCUUGACUGCGAGAGUGACGGCUCGAGCAGGUGCGAAAGCAGGUCAUAGUGAUCCGGUGGUUCUGAAUGGAAGGGCCAUCGCUCAACGGAUAAAAGGUACUCCGGGGAUAACAGGCUGAUACCGCCCAAGAGUUCAUAUCGACGGCGGUGUUUGGCACCUCGAUGUCGGCUCAUCACAUCCUGGGGCUGAAGUAGGUCCCAAGGGUAUGGCUGUUCGCCAUUUAAAGUGGUACGCGAGCUGGGUUUAGAACGUCGUGAGACAGUUCGGUCCCUAUCUGCCGUGGGCGCUGGAGAAUUGAGGGGGGCUGCUCCUAGUACGAGAGGACCGGAGUGGACGCAUCACUGGUGUUCGGGUUGUCAUGCCAAUGGCACUGCCCGGUAGCUAAAUGCGGAAGAGAUAAGUGCUGAAAGCAUCUAAGCACGAAACUUGCCCCGAGAUGAGUUCUCCCUGAGACUUAAAGUCUCCUGAAGGAACGUUGAAGACGACGACGUUGAUAGGUCGGGUGUGUAAGCGCAGCGAUGCGUUGAGCUAACCGAUACUAAUGAACCGUGAGGCUUAACCUUACAACGCCGAAG